rnacentral:rRNA from 1 species
UACGUAGGGCGCAAGCGUUGUCCGGAAUUAUUGGGCGUAAAGAGCUCGUAGGCGGUCUGUCGCGUCGAAUGUGAAAACCCGGGGCUCAACUCCGGGCUUGCAUUCGAUACGGGCAGGCUAGAGUUCGGUAGGGGAGUCUGGAAUUCCUGGUGUAGCGGUGAAAUGCGCAGAUAUCAGGAGGAACACCGGUGGCGAAGGCGGCGACCUGGUCCUAUACUGACACUCAUACACGAAAGCGUGGGGAUCAAACAGG